rnacentral:tRNA from 1 species
GGCCGAGUGGCGGAAUGGCAGACGCAGGGGACUUAAAAUCCCUUGAGGGGUUACCCUCGUGCGGGUUCGAGUCCCGCCUCGGCCACCA